UACGAAGGGGGGCUAGCGUUGCUCGGAAUUACUGGGCGUAAAGGGCGCGUAGGCGGACAUUUAAGUCGGGGGGUGAAAGCCCAGGGCUCAACCCUGGAAUAGCCUUCGAUACUGGAUGUCUUGAGUUCGGGAGAGGUGAGUGGAAUGCCGAGUGUAGCGGUGAAAAUGCGUAGAUAUUCGGAGGAACACCAGUGGCGAAAGCGACUUUCUGGGACGUUCCUGACGCUGAGGUUCGAAAGCUCGGGGGAGCAAACAGG
rnacentral:rRNA from 1 species